CCUGCACCACACCGCACCUCACCACAACCACAGCCUCAGCCGUUCCAGUAUUACUUCGUGUAAUUAGCAAGCCAACAGUAUGAGCCGACUCAUCGCUACCCUGUUGCUCGUUGCCAUGGCAACUGUUCUCACUGAAGCCGGAUACUAUAGAGGAAUCGGCGGAAUCGGCGGAAUCGGCGGAAUCGGUGGGAUCGGUGGGAUCGGUGGGAUCGGCAGAAUCGGUGGUUUUGGCGGAUACGGCAUGGGAUUCGGAGGUUAUGGAAUGGGAAUGGGCGGUUUUGGAAUCGGCGCUAUCGGAAUCGGCGGUAUCGGAGGCGGCUUUGGCGGUUAUGGAGGCUAUGGCGGUUAUGGAGGUUAUGGCGGUUAUGGCAUGGGCUAUGGAUACCCAAUGUACGGAAGGUACUACUAAACAUAACAUCAUUUUCCGAAAGAGGAAGGCAAACUGCAACACAAAACGAUCACAAUUCUACUAAAGCCGUCCAGUGCUGCAGGCGAGUCCGACUCUACCACCAUCACAUCAUGAGAAACAUCCCACGAGAUCGAGCGAGAUAGAGGCAUGAGUGCGACCUGUGAAUUUUUUUUUACCAACAAUAAAAGAAAAUUUUGAAGAAAAAA